CAGAGUCGGGACGAUGUUCGAUGG
rnacentral:siRNA from 1 species